GCAUAACGCGAAGAACCUUACCCAGGCUUGAACUGCAGAGGACACUCUACGAAAGUAGACUUCCGCAAGGACCUCUGUAGAGGUGCUGCAUGGCUGUCGUCAGCUCGUGUCGUGAGAUGUUGGGUUAAGUCCCGCAACGAGCGCAACCCUUGUCUUCUGUUGCCAUCAGGUCAAGCUGGGCACUCUGAAGAGACUGCCGGUGACAAACCGGAGGAAGGUGGGGAUGACGUCAAGUCAGCAUGGCCUUUAUGUCUGGGGCCACACACGUGCUACAAUGGCAGGUACAAACCGUCGCGAGACCGCAAGGUGGAGCUAAUCGGAUAAAGCCUGUCUCAGUUCGGAUUGUCGGCUGCAACUCGCCGGCAUGAAGUUGGAAUCGCUAGUAAUCGCGGAUCAGCACGCCGCGGUGAAUACGUUCCCGGGUCUUGUACACACCG
rnacentral:rRNA from 1 species